CUCGGUGCGGGCGGCGCGGCACGCGGCGCGCUGUUGCCGUUCCUCGAAGCCGGCCCGGCGGAACUCGUGAUCGCGAAUCGCGACGUCGACA
rnacentral:tRNA from 1 species